AAUGAACGUUGGCGGCAUGGAUAGGCAUGCAAGUCGGGGGAAUCCCAGCAAUGGGGGAACCGGCGUAAGGGGCAGUAAGGCAUGGGUACCUACCUUGGGGUUCGGGAUAGCCAUCAGAGAUGGUGGGUAAUACCGGAUGACGUCGUGAGACCAAAGAUUUAUCGCCCUUAGAGGGGCCCAUGUGAUAUUAGCUAGUUGGUGGGGUAACGGCCCACCAAGGCGAAGAUGUCUAGCGGGUGGGAGAGCACGACCCGCGCCACUCGCACUGAGACACUGGCGAGACACCUACGGGUGGCUGCAGUCGAGGAUCUUCGGCAAUGAGCGCAAGCUUGACCGGGCGAUGCCGCGUGAGCGAUGAAGGCCUUCGGGUUGUAAAGCUCUUUAGUGGGGGAGAAAAGCCGCAAGGUGUGAUCUAUCCCAAAAAUAAGCACGGGCUAAGUUCGUGCCAGCCGCCGCGGUAA
rnacentral:rRNA from 1 species